GUAACGAGAGUAAAGUGUUUCUGCAGAUCUCCAAUGUGAUCCUCACAUAUACCAUGAGGUCCUUCCAAUCCAGACACCAAAACGCCAGGGGGGAGCCAGGGCCAGGCCGGAGGCGUCCCUGUGCAGAGGCCCACAUGAAUGAGCUUGGAAGCUGAUCUGAAGAGGCCUGACACCAGCCUGGCGAGCCCUGAGGUGACCACAGCCCUGGCCAACCCUCAAUUAAAGUUUCAUAAGAUCCUGGGCAGAACCACCUGGGCAAGCUACUCCUGGAUUCCUGACCCCAAAACCUGGGAGGUCAUAGAGUUUGUUUUUACAGCCACUGGAAUUUAGGAAAAUGUGUUAUGUAUGCAGCAACAACUAACAAAAUUGGCCAUUUUUUACUGUGAAAGUAAAAGAUAUUAUGUUAUUGUCUGCAAAA